rnacentral:rRNA from 1 species
UAUCCAGACUCCUACGGGAGGCAACAGUGGGGAAUAUUGCACAAUGGGGGAAACCCUGAUGCAGCGACGCCGCGUGAAGGAAGAAGUAUUUCGGUAUGUAAACUUCUAUCAGCAGGGAAGAAAAUGACGGUACCUGACUAAGAAGCCCCGGCUAACUACGUGCCAGCAGCCGCGGUAAUACGUAGGGGGCAAGCGUUAUCCGGAUUUACUGGGUGUAAAGGGAGCGUAGGCGGUGCAGCAAGUCAGAAGUGAAAGCCCGGGGCUCAACUCCGGGACUGCUCUUGGAACUGCGCGGCUGGAGUGCAGGAGGGGCAGGCGGAAUUCCUGGUGUAGCGGUGAAAUGCGUAGAUAUCAGGAGGAACACCGGUGGCGAAGGCGGCCUGCUGGACUGCGACUGACGUUGAGGCCCGAAAGCGUGGGGAGCAAACAGGAUUAGAUACCCCAGUA